CGAAAAUUUAACGGGGCUAAACUGUACACCGAAGCUUGGGAAUAUACAUUUGUAUGUUGGUAGGAGAGCGUUGUGUAAGGGGUGAAGUCGUAGCGAAAGCGGCGGUGGACUUUACACAAGUGAGAAUGCCGGAAUGAGUAGCGAGAAUUAUGUGAGAAUCAUAAUGGCCGAAAGACUAAGGUUUUAGAAGGAAGGUUCGUCCGCUUCUAGUUAGCCGGGAGCUAAGGCGAGGCCGAGAGGCGUAGUCGAUGCACAUACGGUUGAGAUUCCGUAGCUACCUUGCAUUUAAGCGAAGGGACACAUUUGAAGGGCAUGACCCGGGCGUUGGUUGACCCGGGCGUAAGGGACCGAAAAUAAGUAGGGAAGCAUGCUUGGAUGGUGGCGAGAAAAGCUUCGUGUAUAUAAGCAGGGUACCCGUACUGCAAACCGACACAGGUAGUCAGGAAGAGGAUUCUAAGGCCAUCGGGAGAAGCGUUGUUAAGGAACUCGGCAAAUUGACCCCGUAACUUCGGAAUAAGGGGUGCUCACGCGAGUGAGCCGCAGUGAAUAGGUCCAGGCAACUGUUUAUCAAAAACACAGCUCUCUGCUAAAUCGUAAGAUGACGUAUAGGGGGUGACACCUGCCCGGUGCUGGAAGGUUAAGAGGAGGGGUGCAAGCUCCGAAUUGAAGCCCCAGUAAACGGCGGCCGUAACUAUAACGGUCCUAAGGUAGCGAAAUUCCUUGUCGGGUAAGUUCCGACCCGCACGAAUGGUGUAAUGAUCUGGACACUGUCUCAACAACGCACCCGGCGAAAUUGUAGUACCGGUGAAGAUGCCGGUUACCCGCGGCAAGACGGAAAGACCCCAUGGAGCUUCACUGUAGCCUGAUAUUGGGUCUCGGUAUUUUAUGUACAGGAUAGGCGGGAGACUUGGAAACCAGCACGCCAGUGUUGGCGGAGUCACCCUUGGGAUACCGCUCUUAAAGUAUCUGAGAUUCUAACCUGCAGCCAUGAAUCUGGCUGGGGGACAUUGUCAGGUGGGCAGUUUGACUGGGGCGGUCGCCUCCAAAAGAGUAACGGAGGCGUUCAAAGGUUCACUCAGCAUGGACGGAAACCAUGCCUUAGAGUGCAAACGCAUAAGUGAGCCUAACUGCGAGACUGACGGGUCGAGCAGUAACGAAAG
rnacentral:rRNA from 1 species